rnacentral:lncRNA from 1 species
CUCUAUUCUUCAGAAGCUCCAGAGACCAGAACUUACAACCUGCUGUCUUUUCUCAUCUUCACUAUCAUUAUCUUCAGACUGAAUCUUCCCAAAAUGGAUUUUUUUACCAACCUCGUCCUCUUUCAAGAAACAAAGAGGAGAAUUAUGUGAUGGUUUCCACUGUCGGAGCGUCUGUGGCUUUGUUUGAGCGAGAGCUUCAAAUCCAAAGCUAAACCUUGACUGAACACACAAACUCAAUUGACGAGAGGAGUACCCAUGUUCAAGCCCACCAAUUGGCCGAGGACACAAUCAGAGGGUUAUUGGCAGGUAUCUUCUUAUCUCCCUGGUGCACUGAAAAAACUCAAUUCAUUAAAAUAAUAAAAAAAAGAUCUUGGUCCCUCAUGUGAGCGGCAUGUGAUUUUCCAUGAACGUUCGGCUCAGAAGGCAUCGUGCCUAUUAUACAUUCCAUUUAUAAAUCAAACACCCCUCGUCCUGCGGCUGCACGCUGACAUGUCAGCGAGGUUUGGGUCAGCCGCACACACUUCCACGUGAACAGCAGAUGAAGGCAAAGAGACAGGGAAGCGGCUCUUUCUUCCCCCCCUUUUCCACCAGUAAUAGGCAGCUUGAACGUUAAAAUUGGGCUGAGACUCCAAAACCAAAGUCCCAUGAACCAUAGAAGCAAAGAGACUUGAGAUAAAAGACAGGAUCUGUCUGUUCUCUUGGAUCCUUCACCUUUCUUUCUCUCCCCUUCAUCAUGUUCAUUGGAAAGUAAAGUAUGUGCAUGUGUGUGUGAAUUAAAGAAUAUAUCUAGGAAAAGAUGGGAUAAAAUCUAGCCCAAGACUUUGGUUUCUAAAACCUGUGAAGGUGGUUUGGGCCUGGGACUCUAGGGCUUUGUCCAUGCCCAGAAGUGAAAACAGAAAGAGGACUUUCAGGUUCCCAAUCAGAAGGCCAUGGAGGGUCCCGCUGAGUAGCUCCACCAUGAAGGCAACAGGUACCAAGUCAGCCCAGCCACAUUUUAAAGGCACAUCGCAGCUCCUUGCUGCAUGUGGAACUAGUUUGAUCUUGUAGCCUCCUAUCCAUGUCAAAACAUGCAAUUUACCAAGA